rnacentral:lncRNA from 10 species
AGCCACUCCAAAGGUGGAGCCCAUCAACUGGACCUGGGGGUGGGAGGAAGACAGGAGCCAGGAGGGCUCCAAAGUUCUGGCCUGUUGAUUUCCGAGACACUUGGCUUUUCCUUUUUUCUCCUUUUGAAAACCAGUUAAUAGACGCUUGGCUUUUUCUUACAGCAGGUGUGCAUUACCAUUGCAAUGAGAAAACCCCAAAAAGACAUACCUUUUACUGGAGGGGGAGAAGGCAUUCUCCAUGUUGAAAGCAUUCUCCACUCCUUUCCCGAGGGGAGCCAUGAAGGAGACACGCGUCUUUCCCAGGUGCCCCCCAUUGCCCAGUGGUCUGCCCCGUCUGCUGCACAAGGAAACAGAAACCGAGGGCUGGAGAGAAAGGGGGCUCCUGAAGAUGACUGCGUUGCAUUGAGGCAAAAGGAAAGCCGUUGUACCUUCAGACCAUCUCUCGCCAUCCACCCUGCGUGACCAUUGCCUACGCCAGUCUUCCCUCCUCCCCGCUCUCUCUGCCAUCUCCCUCGCUGACUUUUGUCCUUGGAUCGCCUGCGUGAUCAGAAGAGGUUUCAUUCUCUGGCAACUGUGCAGCCAUUAGCGAGAGGCAGACGCAUUACCCUCUCACCGCACAAUCGUUGGCUACUUCAGUUAUUCUAUUUCACCUGAAGACUUUAUUUGCAGCCGAGCCUCCCCUCCGGAGCAGGGCAGGCCCCAUCUGUCGGACAGUUUGCUCCAGCGUCUCCGGCCAUUAUGCCUCCACUUGGAGGACGGGAUGGAUGGCAUGCGUGCAAGGGAGCAGGGGAGAGAGCGAGCUGGGGAGAGAGCGUGCGUGUCUGCCUGCCUGCACUCCCUCCCACUUGUCUCUUUAUCAUUCUCCCAGGGCCGAACAGAACUUGCUUUGAAGAGUGAUGUCAGACGUGUACAAAACAGAGCGAUAAAACCUAAUGCACUCGCGCCCCUUUGUCUGCCUGAUUCUCCUCCCGAACAUUUCCCACUCAGAAAGCCACUUAAAACACAUCAGCAGUAACUCCACAAAACAGCCACUUGUUGGCUAAUUGAGCUAAGCAGCUGCCAGCAGGGCUAGGGGAGGGGUGGGGAAGGAAGCUGGAGGCCCCUCCACUCCCCCAGCCAGAGCCUGGCUCCUGGGGAGGGUGCCCGGCCCAGCCAUUGCCUCCCUCCCGUACCUCUGCACCGCAAGGCUCUGCAAGGAGAGAAGACGCAGCUCUGCUCACUGGGUGGAGGGCGGGGAGGCAAGGAACUCGCGCCUGGGGGGCCGGGUUGGGGAGCCAGGUGGGCAGGAUUCUCUGCCAGCUCCCUGGGAGUCACUGGCCAUCUCUGGGCCUCAGUUUCCCCACCCACCCCAUAAGCGGGUUGGACUGUGGCUUCUGGGGUCUCUUCCAGUUCCCAAAGGCUGCCUGUUGUUACGCACUGGGAGCUUCCGACAGACCUGGGUUCAAAUCCCAGCUCUGCCUUUUGACCUGUAGCCUCAGGCUCUCUGAGUGUGUUUCCUCAUCAGGAAAACGAGAUACCAGCAGCGCCUGUCAUGAUUAGCACAAGCCCAGCCUGGAUGGCAAAAGCGACAGACCCUCCCUCAGAGGGACAAGGAUGAGACGGCCGAACCAGUGCUCCUGCCCGGGCUCCACAGGCCCCUUUCCUCGCUGGCCCCACUGGAGAGGCAGGGGUUAAGCUCCAUGGCCUGUCCCCUCUGUCACACAUGUACCCUGCCAUCUCUGGGCUCAACUGUCGCUGCGCUGUAUCGGGACUCCAUCAGAGAGGCUCAGGCAGCAGCUUGCAGUGUUCAGGCCGGCGGUCUCGAGGGUGGCGAGUUCUUGCACUCCUACAACAGCGCUUGAGGACGGCUCUGUCCGCUGGCCUAUGCUGCAGCCUCCUCCUGCCCCUGCGGCAGAGGAGGGAGAGCCGUGGGCACAGCUAGCACUAGCACGUGUGGGUUCAGAGGUCUGAGCGGCCACUUCCCGCUUCCAGACCUCGGAUGCGACGCUCAUCUGCACGGUGUGGGCAGAGAUAACAUCCUCCCCAGAACAGCAUGGAAAUGUUUCAGCAGGGUGCUCGGCUUAGAUAAGUGCUCGGCAAACCAGAGUUGCCAUCAUGAUUCCCCCACGGCCCUCAAUCCUCUCCUCCCUGCAAAGCGUGCAUCCUUUUUUACCCCAUCUUCCACCCCUCCCAAUUUCCCUUUUGGCCUCAUCUUGGAGGCUGUAAGUCAGGGUGAAUCAUUCAUCAAAAUAUCUCACUCUUCCUCUUCCAGGGUUCCUGAUAUAAUUACCUCCCUCUUCGGUUUUGCUCCUGAUCCCUCUUCUGUUUUUUUCUGUGUGAACUUUAUUUUAACCAUCCUUUGUGUCUGUGAAUGUUUUUUUUUUUUUUAAAUCUUGCCAAUGAAAAUAACUUAAUUGCUUUUUCUGGUUUUUAAAGUAACACACGCUCAUUACCAAAAACAUCCAGACAACGCAGAAAGGUAGAACGAGGGGA